UACGUAGGGUGCAAGCGUUAUCCGGAUUUAUUGGGCGUAAAGGGCUCGUAGGCGGUUCGUCGCGUCCGGUGUGAAAGUCCAUCGCUUAACGGUGGAUCCGCGCCGGGUACGGGCGGGCUUGAGUGCGGUAGGGGAGACUGGAAUUCCCGGUGUAACGGUGGAAUGUGUAGAUAUCGGGAAGAACACCGAUGGCGAAGGCAGAUCUCUGGGCCGCAACCGACGCUGAGGCGCGAAAGCUAGGGGAGCGAACAGG
rnacentral:rRNA from 1 species